UACGUAGGGCGCAAGCGUUGUCCGGAAUUAUUGGGCGUAAAGAGCUCGUAGGUGGUUUGCUACGUCCGCUGUGAAAACCUAGGGCUUAACCCUGGGCCUGCAGUGGAUACGGGCAGACUAGAGGUAGGUAGGGGAGAAUGGAAUUCCCGGUGUAGCGGUGAAAUGCGCAGAUAUCGGGAGGAACACCGGUGGCGAAGGCGGUUCUCUGGGCCUGUACUGACGCUGAGGAGCGAAAGCGUGGGGAGCGAACAGG
rnacentral:rRNA from 1 species